rnacentral:lncRNA from 1 species
AUUGGUUUUCCUGGAGAGGGAUAUGCUGUGGUGAAACAAGGCCUCCUAGCAGGGAGAGUUCCUGGACUUUCUGAGCCAGAUGAAGAAGGUUAGUUUUAUAAUCCCACACUUUAUAAGCUGCAGUAAGCUUAUUGGCAUAUUCAUGAAUGAUGUUGAAAAACUAGGACAACUAGUAGACUCUUACCAAAUCCAAUAGAAUUAUUCACAACCUCAAAUAGCAACAAAAGGUUGUGUCUAGGCUGGAUAAUUGCAUAGACAUAGACUACAUUCAGAUAAUGAGAGAACACAGAGCCUACGUGUAUAUAACUGAAAUUCUUCGCGUCUUUUUCGUCUGUGCUUUUUCUUUUUCCAAGUAAAUGUUCAUCUUAACAAGGGCAAAAUUGCUCAGGCAGGUUGGAGGACAUACCGAAGACCGGAUGACAAGUCAGGUGGACAUGGUGUUGGAUGGAGUCCGAUCAGUCCUUAUGUUUUUUCAGUGCCUGAUAAUUGGGAAGAGGUAAUAAUUCAGUUAUUCACAACUGUAUGUAUUUUAAUAUUCAGCAAUGUCCGAGAAAUUACCUUUCAGCUGGAUGUCAAUUUACUUUGCACAAUUGGACAUACCUUAGUCAGGUUCACUUUUGAAGUUUUCACCUAUUGAACAGGUCCCUGUGUCAAUUGCUGAUCUAGGCGGUAC